rnacentral:rRNA from 1 species
UACGUAGGGUGCAAGCGUUAAUCGGAAUUACUGGGCGUAAAGCGUGCGCAGGCGGUUUUGUAAGCCAGAUGUGAAAUCCCCGGGCUCAACCUGGGAAUGGCAUUUGGGACUGCAAGGCUUGAGUGCGGCAGAGGAGACUGGAAUUCCUGGUGUAGCAGUGAAAUGCGUAGAUAUCAGGAGGAAUACCGAUGGCGAAGGCAGGUCUCUGGGCUGACACUGACGCUCAUGCACGAAGGCGUGGGGAGCAAACAGG